rnacentral:rRNA from 1 species
GACGAAGGAUGCAAGCGUUAUCCGGAUUCAUUGGGUUUAAAGGGAGCGUAGGUGGUCUGCUAAGUCAGUGGUGAAAUCUUCUCGCUUAACGAGAAAACUGCCAUUGAUACUGGUGGACUUGAGUACAGAUGCCGUUGGCGGAAUAUGACAUGUAGUGGUGAAAUACAUAGAGAUGUCAUAGAACACCGAUUGCGAAGGCAGCUAACGAAACUGUAACUGACACUGAGGCUCGAAAGUGCGGGGAUCAAACAGG